rnacentral:rRNA from 1 species
GGGGAAUAUUGGACAAUGGGCGAAAGCCUGAUCCAGCCAUGCCGCGUGUGUGAAGAAGGUCUUCGGAUUGUAAAGCACUUUAAGUUGGGAGGAAGGGCUGCAAGUUAAUACCUUGUAGUUUUGACGUUACCAACAGAAUAAGCCACGGCUAACUACGUGCCAGCAGCCGCGGUAAUACGUAGGUGGCAAGCGUUGUCCGGAAUUAUUGGGCGUAAAGCGCGCGCAGGUGGUUUCUUAAGUCUGAUGUGAAAGCCCACGGCUUAACCGUGGGAGUCAUUGGAAACUGGGAGACUUGAGUGCAGAAGAGGAAAGUGGAAUUCCAAGUGUAGCGGUGAAAUGCGUAGAGAUUUGGAGGAACACCAGUGGCGAAGGCGACUUUCUGGUCUGCAACUGACGCUGAGGCGCGAAAGCAUGGGGAGCAAACA